AGAUUGAGCCUCUUGAAACAUUUGCUCUUGGAAUUCUCCCUCUCAGGAAACUAACAGCCUGCUAUGAAGCCCAAGCCACAAAGAGAGGCCAAGGGGAAAUAAACAGAGUGUGAUUAUAUGCAAAACCUACAAGAAUGAGGACCUCCAAACUCAGUGUACAGAGUGAUUUUCUGCUGAAACAAUUGGAAAAUAAAAGAGACAUCAGUGUGUGAAUGACGACUUUCUGUUGCUGACUUGGAAGACAGAGGAAUUGGGUCAUGAGCCGAGGAAGGUGGGCAGCUUCUAAAAGGCGGAAAAGUGGCUGAAGUGAGAGGAAGCGAGGAUAUGGCUGACAUUCUCCAAGAAGCAGUGACUUCAGAAGAUGACUGGCAUCUUGAACUUCAGGAAAAUGCUUGGCCUUUUUAACUCUGAAAGUCUGUUUGAAACUCAGAAGAAGAAAAUUAGGUGAAUACAAAACUGCUGCCAAACUUAGAAACUUGGUUAAAUAUCCUGCAGAAAAUAUCAUGGGCUUUUCAGAGUCCAGUUAAAUAUCUACAGAUUAUAUUUCCAGUUUCAUACCUGGGGCAUUAACUCUAUUCAUUUUACUAGCUUUAGUGAAUUUUACUUCUGGAGCAUAACAUUGCAUUGAAAAUGUGUCCUCUAACCUAUGAUAUUUAUGUAUCGUUUAAUAUGAAAUUUAUGAGGUUCCAUUUCUGAUUUCCAAAUGGAUGCAAAUUAGAACACAGGAUAUUUACAUUCUUUCAUUUCUAACCCACAUACAUAAAGUUUGACUUUAAAAUGCCA
rnacentral:lncRNA from 1 species